GACGAACGCUGGCGGUGUGCUUAACACAUGCAAGUCGAGCGAGUGAGUUCUUCGGAACGAUCUAGCGGCGGACGGGUGAGUAACACGUGGGCAACCUGCCUCAUAGAGGGGAAUAGCCUCCCGAAAGGGAGAUUAAUACCGCAUAAAAUUACCGAGUGGCAUCACAUGAUAAUCAAAGGAGUAAUCCGCUAUGAGAUGGGCCCGCGGCGCAUUAGCUAGUUGGUGAGGUAACGGCUCACCAAGGCGACGAUGCGUAGCCGACCUGAGAGGGUGAUCGGCCACAUUGGGACUGAGACACGGCCCAGACUCCUACGGGAGGCAGCAGUGGGGAAUAUUGCACAAUGGGGGAAACCCUGAUGCAGCAACGCCGCGUGAGUGAUGAAGGUCUUCGGAUUGUAAAGCUCUGUCUUUGGGGACGAUAAUGACGGUACCCAAGGAGGAAGUCACGGCUAACUACGUGCCAGCCGCCGCCGUAA
rnacentral:rRNA from 1 species